ACUCAAAUGAAUAGACGGGGACCCGCACAAGCGGUGGAACAUGUGGUUUAAUUCGAGGCAACGCGAAGAACCUUACCAGGGUUCGACAUGCCCUUUAACGCCCCUCCAAAAGGGGGCUUCGGUUCGGCCGGAAGGGACACAGGUGCUGCAUGGCUGUCGUCAGCUCGUGUCGUGAGAUGUUGGGUUAAGUCCCGCAACGAGCGCAACCCUCAUCCUCUGUUGCUAACAGGUAAUGCUGAGAACUCUGAGGAAACUGCCGGUGAUAAGCCGGAGGAAGGUGGGGAUGACGUCAAGUCCUCAUGGCCCUUACACCCUGGGCUACACACGUGUUACAAUGGCAGUGACAAUGGGCAGCUAACCCGCGAGGGUGCGCGAAUCCCAAAAAGCUGCCUCAGUUUGGAUUGUACUCUGCAACUCGAGUACAUGAAAUUGGAAUCGCUAGUAAUCGUAGAUCAGCACGCUACGGUGAAUACGUUCCCGGGUCUUGUACACACCGCCCGU
rnacentral:rRNA from 1 species